GUGCUUGAUCUCGAGAGGUUCUCAACAUCAUGAAAGGACUUUCAAGAGGUUGUAGUGAUGAUUUUGGGGGGUUUGCCAUCCCAAUUCUAUUGUUCUCCAGCUCGCUAGCAACUCUAGCAUUGCGAGAUGGAGAUGGGACGGGAGUGGAUUGGAUUAUCUGCGAUGCAUAUUAUGGCUUCUUGUGACAGCCAUCCAUCUCCAAAACGCGUGGGGGCUAUCUCAACUCGUGAAUGGAGAAUUUCAACG
rnacentral:lncRNA from 1 species